rnacentral:lncRNA from 1 species
CUCGAGCUCCCCAUGAUCUCUACCUAUGGGAGCUUGAUAUUGCAAUUGUUUAUACUCAAACAAGCAUUAUGGGUUGUCCAAUGCUAUCUUAUCCACCACUGCCACCAUCUAUUGUGCCUCAAUAUAUAUCUCUCUAGCCAAUGAGGGGGCAAUGCCAUUGCCCAAGAUGGAGAAGGCAAUGCUUUGUGAGGAUGAUACCAUAUAUAGUGAAACUUGACAGCAAUGAGCUAGAAGAGAUCAAAGGCUAUGAGGAAGAGAAAUGGGGC